GUAAGGAGACUGGUUUGUGUGGCAAACUUUGUUUACCUGCUAUCCUGGGAUACCUUACAGCUUCCAAGAAGGCUACUGCAAAGGUCUCUCUUUUCUCUAUUAGUUUUCUUCUCCUUAAUUAAAUGGGGAAAAUAGUUACAUGGUAAACAGAAGGGUCAUGGUGAGGACCUACUGUGCAUCAAUGUCCUAAUCUGUAUGCUAUUUGAGUGAUGAGAACGUUGGGGAGGGGGUGUCAAGCUGAAAGACAGUUUAAGAUAUCCCAAUACUUAUUUCUUCCUUUGACACAAUCAACAUCACGGUGUUAGAGAAGUAAGGAAGGUAUUGGGGAUGAGGUGCAUUUGUAAGAUUUGUCGUACAUCUUGUGAUCACAUCUGUAAUUGUGAUGAGUUGGCAGUGCUUGAUGCACUGUUAAAAUGGGCAUGAGAACAAGAUGUGCCAACUGCAGGCUGCUGUAUGUGUCUGCCAAGGGCUUACACAAGCACAUGAUCAUAUCUGUUCAUAACCAAUCCGAAUGCUUUGCUCUCUAUGUGGUACUACAUUUGAGACCAUCUUCAUAUAAGUAAACUGCGGAAGCACUGAGAUAAAUAUCAUUCCAACUCCAGAUGCAAGCCAGUUUGCAAGCAAAUUUGAUGUUAAAUGGGAUUGUGCACUGCAAAACAGCCUGUGAAACGUCUGUGGUUAUAAAAGCAAGGUGCUUCAUUUCAUCUGAAGGAAUUGGAAGAAAAUGGAAAUUCUGAAGAGUGGCGCACUGAAUGUUCUCCAGGUGUUGUAGUCUUGAGUAACAAUUCCACUAACUGCUAAUUUAUAGUGCUCAUUAGCCUGGAGGUAGCAGGGGAAGGGGCGGAGUCUGUCACUGUUCCUGUAGCUCAGUAGUAUUUUUUGGCAUGUAGGGAUGGAUCAGCAAUGGCUUGAGUCCUACACAGUCCUUGUAACAUCGCAGUCUCUGGGUUGAUAUUUUUUUCCAAUACAAAUAGAUGUAAUCAUGAUGCUUGGAUCUUUUCUGGGGAUUUUUAGAAACUUCAGUCAAAAUGUACAGACAUGAGCACCUUCAGCGCUGCUUACUGCAGCAAUGAAUGAAUCAUUAUUCUGGAAUCUCCAGAAACAUGGUCUUCUGUCUUGAUUCCUUUCUUCUUUCAAAUACUUGCAUUUCACAUUAUUUGGUGACAAAUUUUCUUCUCAUGCUUAUAAUUUAGAAACCUGUAAUAAAGCCAUCUUGUCU
rnacentral:lncRNA from 7 species